GGGGGUGUUCUGGACCCUGCUGCUGUCGGGGUUGCAGGCAGCUCCCCCAGCUCUCCUUCCCCUGCUGCCAGCCAGCCCCCGAGGGCGCGCUAUGACGGGCUUGGCCGACAGAGGGCGCACGGCGCAUUCUUUUUCUCCGCGAUUUGUGCUGUGCUUGGGUUUGGUUGCAAAACUGCUCUGUCCCCUUCACUCCUGCUGACAGCAUCUUAGGACCACACAGGGGAAGGAAAGAGCGAGUACGGAGUUUUCUGUCUCCCCCAGCAUUUCUGCUUAGGACCCCAGACCCCCCUGAGAAAAGACAGAUGGAAGCUGGCGACCGUGCUUAUCUGCAGGUGGGCUCUACUCCUGCUCCACUUUGGGAGACCUCUGGGCUUUUAACACUGUUAUUUAAAUGCUUUCUUCAAGUCCAUGCCUAAAUAUGCAAUCAGCAGAGAGUGUGGAGCUGCCCAGAUGACUCAAAUCAGUGCUUCUCAACCGUUCGCCAGUACUCCGCACAGACUGCCGUUCCCACAGACCUGCCACGUCUUUCCUUUAGGGCUGGGGAAAAUUGCCUCUUCUUAUUUGAAAAUCUAAGGUUUAAUUUUUUCUAAAGCGCUUCUCUUUCCUCCUGUAAUCGAGUCCAAUCAAACCUCUGGUAUCUCGCUGGCACCCACCUCAGCUGUUGUGUCCGAUGCUUCCAGUGGCUGACGUUGAAGGAUUUGUGUUGUUGUCUUUAACCUGCACCUUAGGUAACCACUCUUAUUCUCUCCGAGACGUUCGCUUGCUUUGCUUUAUCCCACUGACUCACACAGGAAAUCUGCUCUUCUUCGCGAAACGUGGCUGUCCCCAUGGAUGCAGAGCCAGUGGCCAGGGUGCUGCAGCCCCUUUCUCCCCGGAGUGCGCAGCUUACAGAGCAUCGGUGCCACGACAGCAGUAAUAAUGCGCGCUCGGCAUUUUGAUGAGAAAGACGAAGGACUGCAGCCUGUGUAGGUCGGUGAACUCCAGAAAGUCGUGUGCACAUCCCCACCCGCUGGCACCGGGAUGCCCCGUGGUGGCUGCCAAGAACCAGCUCUCUACUGUGUAUAAUGGCACAGGCGAAUCCCACCAAAGUCCUAACUCUGGUCAGUCUUUGAGGGUUAGCUCUCAACUUACACACACACUUUUGGGUUAAUACAACUCAAAGGCAGGGACACAGAUCUUUCCUCAGCAUUGUGUCCAGGGUCACAUCAGCCAGCACGUGAUGUUUUGGCCACAGGGGUGGUGAGAAGGCUCCCGGCUCUGAGGCAGAGCAGCUCCACGUUACGCCCAGGGAUGUGGGAACCGCAGCUGCCCACUUUCCAGACCCCAGUGUUUUUCACAUUAG
rnacentral:lncRNA from 1 species